AUUGAACGCUAGCGGGAUGCCUUACACAUGCAAGUCGAACGGAGUGGCGAACGGGUGCGUAAUGUAUCGGCACGUGCCCAGUAGCGGGGGAUCACUACGCUAAAGCGUAGCUAAUACCGCAUCCCAUUGGAGCGGCCGAUAUCGGAUUAGCUAGUGGGUGGGGUAACGGAUCACCAAGGCGACGAUCCGUAGCUGGUUUGAGAGGACGACCAGCCACACUGGGACUGAGACACGGCCCAGACUCCUACGGGAGGCAGCAGUGGGGAAUGUUGGACAAGGGGCGAAACCCUGAUCCAGCCAUCCCGCGUGUGCGAUGAAGGCCUUCGGGUUGUAAAGCACUUUUGGCAGGAAAGCGGUACCUGCAGAAUAAGCACCGGCUAACUACGUGCCAGCAGCCGCGGUAAUAC
rnacentral:rRNA from 1 species